GACAGAGGGUGCAAACGUUGUUCGGAAUUACUGGGCGUAAAGCGUGUGUAGGCGGCCUUGUAAGUCGGAUGUGAAAGCCCCGGGCUUAACCCGGGAAGUGCACUCGAAACUGCGAGGCUAGAGUAUCGGAGAGGUUGGUGGAAUUCUCGGUGUAGAGGUGAAAUUCGUAGAUAUCGAGAGGAACACCGGUGGCGAAGGCGGCCAACUGGACGAACUACUGACGCUGAGACACGAAAGCGUGGGGAGCAAACAGG
rnacentral:rRNA from 1 species